rnacentral:rRNA from 1 species
AUUGAACGCUGGCGGCAUGCCUUACACAUGCAAGUCGAACGGCAGCGGGCCUUCGGGUGCCGGCGAGUGGCGAACGGGUGAGUAAUGCAUCGGAACGUGCCAUUGAGUGGGGGGAUAACGUAGCGAAAGUUACGCUAAUACCGCAUAUUCUGUGAGCAGGAAAGCAGGGGGACCGCAAGGCCUUGCGCUCUUUGAGCGGCCGAUGUCAGAUUAGCUAGUUGGUGAGGUAAAAGGCUUACCAAGGCGACGAUCUGUAGCGGGUCUGAGAGGAUGAUCCGCCACACUGGAACUGAGACACGGUCCAGACUCCUACGGGAGGCAGCAGUGGGGAAUUUUGGACAAUGGGCGCAAGCCUGAUCCAGCCAUGCCGCGUGAGUGAAGAAGGCC